ensembl:lncRNA
AAAGAAUUGGCUAAUGGAAAAUGUGGCUUUUCUGUGCUUGUUAUUCAGUAGAGAUGUGACAUGAAAAAUAGCUCCCUAUUUGUAAGAGUUUUAUGCCUAUGAUGAGACAAUACGCUCAAUUGUAAUGGUUUCCUAAAUGUAACAGGUACAUAGUUCUGAUAAAUAGUAAAACAAUUUUAGCACUCCGAUUCCAUUUCACAAUCUGAUCUCAAUAUAUUUCAUUUAUACAAAACAGAAAAUGAAGGAGAUUUGCUGCCCAAAUGAGAGAGUACUUGUUUACAUCCUUGUUUCCUCCAUAUCCAUAGUGGUGCUACUACUGUAUGUAUGAAUGAAUAUGAAUAUUUAGGCACAGCACCCAAUCAGUAUUUUUACUUUUGGUGCCAUACAAUCAUCUCAGCCUGCAAGAACUUUACGAAUUCAAAACACAAGGCAUGUCUUUUUUUAGCCAUAGACAUUAUAUGGCCUGUGAGAGUAUUAAACACAUGAUUUAUUUAUCACUGUAAACAGUUACAUGUCAUCUAUGUUCAUAAAGUGUCACAGUGAUAUACUGUGGUGAGUCUUCCCUAUCCAGUAUCUGCUGUAUUGAUUCUGACUUUACAAUCAGUAAAGCAGAUGAUUUAUGAUGUUGAUCUGACUAAAUUACUGAAUGAUUAAAUUAAUCCCUACUCCAUUCUACUUCAUUCUAGUUAUUAGGCUGUUCACAUCCUCUUGUUUUCUUCCACCUGCUACAAGCAAUAAGUAAUUAUGGGACAUGAAUUUGACAUGCUGAUGCACCCUCACUGGCCAAGAAGGUCAGCGAGCAGUGGAGCAGAGUUCACUGCCCAUCUGUGUCAAGCCUCCAAAAAGAGCAGAGAGCAGCUGUGGAGUGGGUUUUACAGAUUUUGAUAUCUCCAUACUGCCAAUGAUAGAACAGACUCUCUGUGAUGUCCAGGUUCAUGGAACACUCCUGACCAUCCAUUACCACAAGGUUAACCUUUUUAUUUUUUCCAAGUCUAAGCAUGAUAUUCAGCAGUUAUUCACCAUACAGCAUAAUCAGUAACUACAAUAAUGCAUGUUUUUGCAAGAGUGAGGAUUAUCAGUCUGGACCCACCAACUAGUCAAAUUGUUCUUGGACGUAUUAUAUACAGAAGCAUGCA